UACGUAGGGGGCAAGCGUUGUCCGGAAUCAUUGGGCGUAAAGCGCGUGUAGGCGGUCCGGUAAGUCCGCUGUGAAAGUCGGGGGCUCAACCCUCGGAUGCCGGUGGAUACUGUCGGGCUUGAGUACGGAAGAGGCGAGUGGAAUUCCUGGUGUAGCGGUGAAAUGCGCAGAUAUCAGGAGGAACACCAGCGGCGAAGGCGGCGCUCUGGGCCGGAACUGACGCUGAGGAGCGAAAGCGUGGGUAGCAAACAGG
rnacentral:rRNA from 1 species